rnacentral:rRNA from 1 species
ACAGCAGUCGCCGCGGUAAAACGAAGGGGGCUAGCGUUGCUCGGAAUUACUGGGCGUAAAGGGAGCGUAGGCGGACAUUUAAGUCAGGGGUGAAAUCCCGGGGCUCAACCCCGGAACUGCCUUUGAUACUGGGUGUCUUGAGUGUGGAAGAGGUCAGUGGAAUUGCGAGUGUAGAGGUGAAAUUCGUAGAUAUUCGCAGGAACACCAGUGGCGAAGGCGGCUGACUGGUCCACAACUGACGCUGAGGUGCGAAAGCGUGGGGAGCAAACAGGAUUAGAUACCCCCGUAGUCCCUGUCUCUUAUAC